CCCUGUUUAAAGAGUUUGAGGACCCCUGGUCUAAGGCACUCAGCAUAGAGGGCCGAAAAUAAAAACGUGGCAAAACUGGCUCUGACGGCAAUCUUCUGCCACACCGCUGUGUAUAAUAGACAUGUUUUGCAUUUGUCAUUAUGCAGCUGUUUGUCAAAACAAAAAAGUUGUUUGUCUACACCUGUGGCUUAGUAAGCAUUUAAUGAAGCUGAUAACUAAUCUCCUACACCAUGCUCGAUUAUUUGUAGAACUACCAUCCACAAUGCAAAAGUGGAAAAAAUGAGUAAAGAUGAGGGGAAAAGAUAGCAAAUUAUCAAAAUAGAGUAUUCAGUAAGAAAUCAAAAAUAGAACCUCCUGUAGAAUGGCCUUUUCCUUCCAAGAUAGACAUCAAACAUGUUUGUGGCACAAUCUAAAAUGAUACAAUUUUCAUAAGAUCUAGGAUGGGUUUAUUUUUCAUGUGCUUAGUUAGGUCUCUCCUUAGGAACAGUUGUGAGAUAUAGACUCUUAUUUAUCUAGAAAGUGAAAAGCUAGAAAGCUAAAACAAAGAUCUGUGCAAUACAAUUUAUGUUACAAGUAAUCCUAAUGAUUACUGAGCACUCAAUAUAUGCCUGGCAUUGUGCAAAAUGUUUUAUAUGCAUUACUUUAUUUAAUACUCAUAAAAAUUUAUGAGGGAUAUUCCCCCAUUUUACGGAUGAGAAAACAGUGUUAGAAAGGUUAAGUAACUUGCCAAAGGUCACUCACCUAGGAAACCACACCGCCUGAGUUUGAAUCUAGGUUUUUUUCUGACCCCAUGGUGCUCAUUCUCCAGUUUUGCAAGAUUCUGAAAUGCCCUCUGAAUUAUCACAUACAAAUUAACUUUUGUGUUAACUAGCAGUGUCAUAUUUUAUAUCAAGUGUGUGGUUUUCCAUCUCUUAAGAUUUGUAGGAAAAAACUGACCUCACCAGACUAAGAAAUCAGACACUUAGGUUGAAGAGAUAUUGUGAAAAUCAAAUAAAAUCAUGAGAGUGGAAAAAUCUUUGAAAAAUGCAUUGCAUUCUACAGAGGAAUGAGGAUGUCAUUACUGUUAAAAAUGUCAAUGUGAAUGUGAUAAGUAUAAUACUUCUCAGGUGAUUAGAAUAUUUUUGUAAAUCAAAACGCCUGCUUACCUAUCUAAUUUGCACUCUGGUAAGUGUGAACAAGCUACCGUUCACCUGUUAGAGUUGAGGCAUAUAAAAUCCCUUGCUUUUCAACUUAUUUCUGGGCCACAUCACUUGCUUGGCUCUGUAGUUCAUGGCUCUGUCACGAGUUUCUCUUUUAUAAGCUCAGAAAACUCCUGAAGUGCAACAAAGUGUUAAGAUGCUGACUUUUACGAAUUACUAUUAGGAUCACCACCAAGUGAGCUGAUUUACCAUCUUCUCUUCCCCUCACCCAACCCCGUUUUCACGUUGCCCGUAAACACGACUUCAUAAACAAGCAGGUAGCACAGCCGGGGACCCUGGGAGUCUCACUGAUUAGUGAGACGUUCCCAGCUCUGAAGUCGUGCGUGGCGUGGAAACUCUGAAUGCAGCUCGGGCAAGGGACUUUAAGACUUCCAGAAAGACCCAACCGGAGUUCCUUACUUGUUCAGAGCUUGAAUUAUGAAGAAAAUAGCGGCAUAGUUUAUGGAUAAAUGAAACGACAGAGGACUUUCUCAUCAGGGUUUCUUAAUGAAGACUGCACCUUAUAAACAGUACUAUUUCAGGUCUGAAAUAAGGCAAUUUGGGAGACCCGUGGUGGCCUUUCAACUCCUCCUUCCUCCCGUACUCUGCUAAGAGAAGACAGUUGGAAACAGCAGUAGGUCCUUAAGGGGGAAAGGCAAACAUUGGCCUGACCCUGGGCCUAAGAAAUCAACUGACAACAGGAAGGAAGCUUAUUAACCCCUCUCCUCCUCCUCCUCCUCCCCCCCUUUCCUGGGUGAGGAUGGGCUCCUCCUCCUCCUCCUGGUCGUGCGGACCCUGGAGCAAAAUGCAAACAACCGCCUGCUUUCGCCACCCUGCACGUCUCUCCCAGAGGAGGAAGAGGGAAGGGGAGAGGGCACGGCCCCAAGCCCAGUCGAGCAAGUCUGUCAAUCGGGCGUGAACGUCCCGACGAGACGACCAGGGCCCUCGCGCCGGCCCAACCCCGCAAGCACGCGGCUUACCUGGCCGAGUUGGCAUCCGGCACCCCAACCGCUGGGCUGACCCCCUGCGCCCCUGCGCCUCGUGCAGGUGGUGCAAACACCCCUGCUCUCCGGCGCCCCCUGCCGGGGAGAGGGAAGGCGGCGGCCGCGAGGAGCAGGGCGCGGGGCCGGGACGGAGCUCGGGCGCGGGGAAGAAGCCGGGAGCUUCCCCGAUGGUGCCGCCGCCUCCUCCGAGCCGGCGAGGAGCAGCCAGGGGGCAGCUGGGCAGGAGCCUGGGUCCGCUGCUGCUGCUCCUGGCGCUGGGACACACGUGGACCUACCGAGAGCUCGAGAACGGCGACAGAGAAAUCUGUUCGGAAAACAAAAUCGUGACUACUAAAUACCCGUGUCUGAAGGCUUCAGGCGAGCUCACCACGUGCUACAGGAGAGAACCACUGUUCCCCGCUUGCGGCCUUUGGAGGUGAGGGGUGACUUCGCUUUUCACUGUGAGUUCUGGGCUUCUGUCCCCAUGCUUUCACUGGUUGGAAGAGGCACACACCCACAAACAUUUAUUGGGUGUCUGCUUUUUAAAGGUAAUCUGGUCACGUGCCCACACCAGACUGUCUCUGAGGCUCAUGAGGUCCGUUUGGGGUGCCAGGAGGUAACAUAGCAAUCCCCAGAAAUGAACUUAAAAGGAAGUUUUACUCUUCAUAAUGUUGUAGCCUGUGAAUUGGUCAUAAUGUUGCAAGAAAGUUCAUUUCACAGAAGCAAAGAUUCAGAUACAAGUGGUUCCAGGGCUUUCAAAGGCACCAUCAGUUACGUUGUGUACUCAGACUUUUAAAUCUUUUGUGGGCGAUGGAAUGACAACCAUCACUUAAGUGAAUCAACAGUCAUUCCUCAGGCUUGGGACGGGCUGCCAUCUCUAGGGGGAUGAACGCUGAGCAAUUUGUGACAGAGGAGAAAGAAGCGUGUUCAAUCGGCAGGUGAAGAUUUUAAGAGGUUAACUGGGUGAGCAGGCAAGGUCACCCGGCUGGUAAAAUGACUUGGUGGUGCUGGCAGCAGGACUGCCUGCCUGGUUCCAGCCCUGUGUAUCUCCCCAUGACACAGUAUUUCUUAGGACACGUUGUUUUUCUAUCACUACGGUAUUAAGCUUCUAAUUUAACAUGGAAAGUGUCCCUGAGAUGGUUUGCUCAUAUGUUCAGUCCCUGAAGGUCAGACUUGACAUAAAUCAGUGACAAUUAAAGAAUGCAUGUCAGGUUUUCAGAAGCCAUCAGUGCCUGAUUAUUCUGUUAUGGUUAUUACUAUCAUCUUUUUCAGACUUUUUAAAGCAUCGUGGUGUUUUUUACACUCAACAAGAGACAUGAGCAGUGGCUUGGCAAUUUUAUUUUAUUUUUUUACUAACAGCUACCCAAAGAAACAGCUAUGAAAUCUAGCAAAAAGGAAAUUUUAAGGAAAAGAAUAAAGAGCUUUGUUUAAGGUAUGGGACAAGAUGUCUUCAGCUAAGAAGUGAUGUUGAUUCUUGUGUAAUAUGAAAAGUUUUUUGUUUUCAUGUUUAUGAAAGUCGAGUUUUAUGUGUACUCUAGUGGCCUUAUCCUAUUUCUACAACUUACUGCUCUUUUUAAGACAAAGUCAGUUGGUAGUUUCUGCUUCUUUCGCUUUUGAACCCCAACAAUGGAGGAAUGCCACGUGUUCCUUGGUUUGUGAGUUGACUGUCCUAGCCUUGUAGACUCUGCUGCUCCAGGUGUGGUCUGGAAACCUGCCGCACGGCAGCAUCUGGGCGCUUGUUGGAAUCUCGGGCCUCUCCCUAGACCUCCUGAAUCAGAACCUGCAUUUUAAUGAGAUGUGCAUUAAAUUUUAAAGCACUGCUAUAGAAACCAGUGUCCUCACCCCCAGGGACACGUGUGAGCCCAUUUAGACAGAUCCUUAGAUGAGCAGUUAGCUCGUCUACCACAUUAACCUAAAAUGAGGCAAAGGACCAGUCUUCCAGGAAACCAGAUUCUUCAAGGGUUACUUUUUUUGUUCAGCAUAUUAUGGGGGUACAAAUGUUAAGGUUACAUAUAUUGCCCUUGUCCCUCCAUCCCCCCUCAAG